AGCGAACGCUGGCGGCAGGCUUAACACAUGCAAGUCGAGCGGGCGUAGCAAUACGUCAGCGGCAGACGGGUGAGUAACGCGUGGGAACGUACCUUUUGGUUCGGAACAACACAGGGAAACUUGUGCUAAUACCGGAUAAGCACUUCCGGGGAAAGAUUUAUCGCCGAAAGAUCGGCCCGCGUCUGAUUAGCUAGUUGGUGAGGUAACGGCUCACCAAGGCGACGAUCAGUAGCUGGUCUGAGAGGAUGAUCAGCCACAUUGGGACUGAGACACGGCCCAAACUCCUACGGGAGGCAGCAGUAGGGAAUAUUGGACAAUGGGGGCAACCCUGAUCCAGCCAUGCCGCGUGAGUGAUGAAGGCCCUAGGGUUGUAAAGCUCUUUUGUGCGGGAAGAUAAUGACGGUACCGCAAGAAUAAGCCCCGGCUAACUUCGUG
rnacentral:rRNA from 1 species